GACGAACGCUGGCGGCGUGCUUAACACAUGCAAGUCGAACGAAGUGGCGAACGGGUGAGUAAUACGUAAGUAACCUGCCCUCCUUUUUGGGAUAAGCCUUGGAAACGGGGUCUAAUACCGGAUAGUGCAAGAUGAGCUCGCGGCCUAUCAGCUUGUUGGUGGGGUAAAGGCCUACCAAGGCGUCGACGGGUAGCCGGCCUGAGAGGGUGUACGGCCACAUUGGGACUGCGCUACUGCCCCGACUCCUCCUGGAGGCAGCAGUGGGGAAUAUUGCACAAUGGGCGGAAGACUGAUGCAGCAACGCCGCGUGGGGGAUGAAGGCCUUAGGGUUGUAAACUCCUUUCGACAGGGUCGCGGUACCUGUAUAAGAGGCACCGGCUAACUACGUGCCAGCAGCCGCGGUAAUUC
rnacentral:rRNA from 1 species